rnacentral:tRNA from 1 species
GCUAUAGCUCAGUGGUAGAGCAUCUGCUUUGCAUCCAGAAGAUUCCAGGUUCAAUCCCUGGUAUCUCCA